rnacentral:rRNA from 1 species
CCUACGGUGGGCAGCAGUGAGGAAUAUUGGUCAAUGGUCGGGAGACUGAACCAGCCAAGCCGCGUGAGGGAGGAAGGUACAGAGUAUCGUAAACCUCUUUUGUCAGGGAACAAAGACUGGGACGCGUCCCCGGAUGAGUGUACCUGAAGAAAAAGCAUCGGCUAACUCCGUGCCAGCAGCCGCGGUAAUACGGAGGAGGCGAGCGGUAUCCGUGUUUAUGGGGUUUAAAGGGUGCGCGGGCGGUCUGUUAAGUCCGCGGUCAAAGCCCGGGGUUAACCCCCGGCCCGACGUUGAAACUGGCAGUCUCGAGUUGGAGAGAAGUAUGCGGAAUGCGCGGUGUAGCGGUGAAAUGCAUAGAUAUCGCGCAGAACUCCGAUUGCGAAGGCAGCAUGCCGGCUCCACACUGACGCUGAGGCACGAAAGCGUGGGUAUCGAACAGGAUUAGAUACCCCAGUAGUC